UAAUUGCGUUAGGGAUUGCAGUGGCAUCCUUUUUAAAAAAUGGUUAGCAAUAAAUUAGCUUUGAGUCAUGCAUAAAAAGCUAGCCACGUCGCUCGCUCCUCGCUAUGACGUUUUUAAAAAGAUAUAACGAAAAGCCCGACCUAUA
rnacentral:sRNA from 1 species